GGCCCCAUGGUCUAGUGGUUAGGACUCCGCUCUUUCAAGGCGGCGGCACGGGUUCGAUUCCCGUUGGGGCUACCA
rnacentral:tRNA from 1 species